CUGCACUGUGCCCGGGUUCAUUUAGGGGGCGCCAGUGUAUAAUGCGCGCAGACCGAGCGGCUCAGAUGUGGAUGGAGAGGCGAGCUGCUGGAACAGCUUGGCUGCAUCAAAUACAGAACAGAAUGACCUUUGAUUUGUGAAUCAGCAGGGAAAACUGAGAUGAUGCAGCAGCAAAGUGGGAAACCAGUAAACCCAAUUCUGAACAAAAACGGCCAUAAAGAUGCAAAAAAAUAAUUGGAACUGCAAAGUAGAGCAACAAUGGGAGAGGCAGGGGGUCAUGCAUGGAGAGCGCAUCAUUGCUGAGGAGGGAUGCUGGUCAGGUUAAUGCCUCCUCCUGCCUCUGGCCAUCGGCACUGGGUGGAGCGGACAUCAGACAGAGACGGCCUUCCUUCCUGCUGAGCUUCGCCACACUCUGUGUAGGACUGCAGUCCUCUUGACGACUUAUGCGUCGGUCACACUGGCUGCACUUUCUCUAUGGCCUGAGAUGGCAGCGCACUAAAGGCAAAUUUGAGCUCAGAUCAUCCGGAGCAUCCUGCCACGGACCGAGCGAUCAGGAGUGCACUCCAAAAUUUUGGGCGAGGGGAAUAAAAUGUGCACACAAUACAAACCCACGGCGGAUCAAACACAGUUGUCACAGUUUGCUGAGAGCUCCGGGUUUCUGGCCUCACACUCUGUGUUUGGGAAGAAAUUUGGACGUCUUUCUCUAAUAUUCUUGGUGUUUAUAUCGUGUUUCU